GUGUUUGUAGUUUAAGGGUAAAACAACCGAAUGUGAAUCGGUAGUUGAGGGUUCGAAUCCCCCAAACACC
rnacentral:tRNA from 1 species